AACGAACGCUGGCGGCAGGCUUAACACAUGCAAGUCGAACGCAUCCUUCGGGGUGAGUGGCAGACGGGUGAGUAACACGUGGGAACGUGCCUUUAGGUUCGGAAUAACUCAGGGAAACUUGUGCUAAUACCGAAUGUGCCCUUCGGGGGAAAGAUUUAUCGCCUUUAGAGCGGCCCGCGUCUGAUUAGCUAGUUGGUGGGGUAAUGGCCCACCAAGGCUACGAUCAGUAGCUGGUCUGAGAGGAUGACCAGCCACAUUGGGACUGAGACACGGCCCAAACUCCUACGGGAGGCAGCAGUGGGGAAUCUUGCGCAAUGGGCGAAAGCCUGACGCAGCCAUGCCGCGUGGAUGAUGAAGGUCUUAGGAUUGUAAAAUCCUUUCACCGGUGAAGAUAAUGACUGUAGCCGGAGAAGAAGCCCCGGCUAACUUCGUGCCAGCCGCCGCAGUAA
rnacentral:rRNA from 1 species